rnacentral:rRNA from 1 species
UUGGAGGGCAAGUCUGGUGCCAGCAGCCGCGGUAAUUCCAGCUCCAAUAGCGUAUAUUAAAGUUGUUGCAGUUAAAAAGCUCGUAGUUGAAUUUCGGGGUCAUCAGGUUGGUCGUGCCACUGGUAUGCACUGGCCUUGGUGAUUCCUCCUUCUUGUAGAGCCGUGAUGCCAUUAAUUUGGUGUUGCGGGGAAACAGGACUGUUACUUUGAAAAAAUUAGAGUGUUUAAAGCAGGCUCACGCUUGAAUACAUUAGCAUGGAAUAAUAAAAUAGGACGUUCGAUCCUAUUUUGUUGGUUUCUAGGGUUGACGUAAUGAUUAAUAGGGAUAGUUGGGGGCAUUAGUAUUCAAUUGUCAGAGGUGAAAUUCUUGGAUUUAUUGAAGACUAACUACUGCGAAAGCAUUUGCCAAGGAUGUUUUCAUUAAUCAAGAACGAAAGUUAGGGGAUCGAAGACGAUCAGAUACCGUCGUAGUCUUAACCAUAAACUAUGCCGACUAGGGAUCGGAUGAUGUUAAUUUUUUAAUGACUCAUUCGGCGCCUUACGGGAAAC